UGAGUGUCCAUAGUAGUCUGAAAUGCA
rnacentral:piRNA from 1 species